CCUACGGGUGGCAGCAGUGAGGAAUAUUGGUCAAUGGACGCAAGUCUGAACCAGCCAUGCCGCGUGAAGGAUGAAGGCCUUCUGGGUUGUAAACUUCUUUUAUUAGGGAAGAAACCUCCGAUUUCUAUUGGAGCCGACGGUACCUAAGGAAUAAGCACCGGCUAACUCCGUGCCAGCAGCCGCGGUAAUACGGAGGGUGCAAGCGUUAUCCGGAUUCACUGGGUUUAAAGGGUGUGUAGGCGGGCAAUUAAGUCAGUGGUGAAAUCUCCAGGCUCAACCUGGAAACUGCCAUUGAUACUAUUUGUCUUGAAUAUCGUUGAGGUAGGCGGAAUAUAUCAUGUAGCGGUGAAAUGCUUAGAUAUGAUAUAGAACACCGAUUGCGAAGGCAGCUUGCUAAACGAUCAUUGACGCUGAGGCACGAAAGCGUGGGGAUCAAACAG
rnacentral:rRNA from 1 species